rnacentral:rRNA from 1 species
CCAGACUCCUACGGGAGGCAGCAGUGGGGAAUAUUGCACAAUGGGGGAAACCCUGAUGCAGCAACGCCGCGUGAGUGAGGAAGUAUUUCGGUAUGUAAAGCUCUAUCAGCAGGGAAUAGAAAAGAAGGUACCUGAAAAAGAAGCCCCGGCUAACUACGUGCCAGCAGCCGCGGUAAUACGUAGGGGGCGAGCGUUGUCCGGAAUUACUGGGCGUAAAGAGAGCGUAGGCGGCACUACAAGUCUCAUGUGAAAUACCCGGGCUUAACUUGGGGGUUGCAUGGGAAACUGUAGAGCUUGAGUACAGGAGAGGCAAGCGGAAUUCCUAGUGUAGCGGUGAAAUGCAUAGAUAUUAGGAGGAACACCAGUGGCGAAGGCGGCUUGCUGGACUGAAACUGACGCUGAGGCUCGAAAGCGUGGGGAGCAAACAGGAUUAGAUACCCUGGUA